rnacentral:rRNA from 1 species
UACGUAGGGGGCAAGCGUUGUCCGGAAUCAUUGGGCGUAAAGCGCGUGUAGGCGGCUUGGUAAGUCCGUUCUGAAAGCCCGGGGCUCAACCCCGGGAGGCGGAUGGAUACUGCUGAGCUCGAGUCCGGAAGAGGCGAGUGGAAUUCCUGGUGUAGCGGUGAAAUGCGUAGAUAUCAAGAGGAACACCUGAGGUGAAGACGGGUUGCUGGGCUGACACUGACGCUGAGGCGCGAAAGCCAGGGGAGCAAACGGG